rnacentral:misc_RNA from 1 species
UAUCAAGAGGGAUGAGUUUGAGCAGAUUAGUAUCCCUAUACUUGAGCGUGUGAAGAGGCCCUUGGAAAAGGCUCUUUUGGAUGCUGGGGUGACUGUAGAGAACAUUCACUCUGUGGAGGUUGUUGGCUCCGGGUCUCGUGUUCCAGCAAUUAUAAGGAUAUUGACUGAGUUUUUUGGGAAGGAGCCAAGGCGAACUAUGAAUGCCAG